rnacentral:rRNA from 1 species
UACGGAGGAGGCAAGCGUUAUCCGGAAUGAUUGGGCGUAAAGCGUCCGCAGGUGGCCAUGUAAGUCUGCUGUCAAAACCCAGGGCUCAACUCUGGUCAGGCAGUGGAAACUACAAAGCUAGAGUCUGGUAGGGGCAAAGGGAAUUCCCGGUGUAGCGGUGAAAUGCGUAGAUUUCGGGAAGAACAUCGGUGGCGAAAGCGCUUUGCUAGACCAGAACUGACACUCAGGGACGAAAGCUAGGGGAGCGAAUGGG